CUGAGCGGGGAAGCACAGCUGCCCAUCACCAGAGCAAGACGGCCAAGAGCCACGCGUGAAUGUCAACAAUCUUCCAAGCCGGAAGGGCCCCCAGGGCGGGCGUUGGGGGAGGGGGGGAGGAGUACAGGGCGAGGCGGAGUGGGGGCAGGGUUGUGCCGGUGUGACCGGGGCCUCCCCCUGAACGCUCUGAGCCAUGUCCCAGGUCUGGCACGUGGCCAGCAGAGUGGACGCCGCCGGGAUGGCCGCUCACUCUGUCUGCCUGGCUCUGAGCGUUUGGCAGGCCUGACCCCCCAGAGAGGCCCCACCCUGCGAGGCCACACAGACCCAUCCCCCAACAGCGGGAGGGAGGCUCUGAGACAUGAGACAACACGCCCUGAUGUGCAGCCGGCCCUGGGAAGAGCUGGCCCCACACGCAGCAGCGUCCCCCAGAGCCUGUGCUGGCAGAGGAUGUCACCCACCCCCGAGGCCGGCUGUUCUCCCGGAGUCUCUCUCCCGGCGGGGCAGGGGAUGCAGCUUCUGGAGUGGCCGUAGAGAGUGGAGCCCACCUUCUGGCCAUCCCCGGCCUCUGGGAGAAAGUGGCACCGCGGUUUCCCCUCGGAGAAGCACCCUCUCUCGCUCCCAGGUUGUGCUCUGAGGACCCCAGGCUCAGCCGGAGUCGAACCCAGAGCUGGCAGCUCAGAGCCCUGCGGGCCCCUUGCUACAAGGACGGUGUCAGGGAGGGCCCGUGAGGGCACCCAGCGCGUGAGAGUCAGCUUCGCCUCUUGGAGGGGAAAUGGGGCAGAGCCGGGACACAGAGACAGUAGCAGGUCCUGAUGUGAUGGUCUGAGCCACCGGCUCCAGCUGGCCUCAAGUCAAGGUCAAGCCCCGGGAUUUGCGUUUAAAUGAGGCAAUCAGCGUCCUCUAUGUUUUGGUCACCUGCAUCCCAAGGUUCUGGAUGGGGGCGGUCCUUCGGGUCGUCCCCUGGUCUGCACGUGAGAAUCAGGUGGGAAUUUUACCAACUCCUGACGCCUGUGUCCGCUCAGUCACCGUCUCUGCGUGGGGAGUGGCACAGGUAUCUUAAAGCCUUCCAGGUGGCUGCCAUGUGCAGCCAGGGCUGACAGCCACUGACAGACACACUGUAUCCCCGGCAGCCUGUGGUCCCGGGGGUGAGGUCACACAUUUAAUGGCUCUUUGCCCAAGACACGAGGUUUUGGGGGGUCCCAGGGUUCAUCUGACUCCCUCCAAGGAAACUGCAGGAUCUGGAAAUAGCGCUGGCGGAAGAGACAGAGAAUCUUAAGACCCCGUCCGGAUUAAGAAGCUUCAGACGGACGGACGGCCGUUUGCUUCUGCUUUUCUGUGUCGAGGCCAUUUGGGACAUUCCUGGGUUGCCACUGUUACAAUAAAGCUCUUCGGACCGUUCGGGGAGCACACUUGGUGUGAACUAGGUUCCAUGCUGAGUGUGGGGCUUGAACUCACAACUCUGCCAUCGAGACCAGAGCUGAGAUCAAGAGUCAGAAGCUUAACUGACUGAGCCAUCCUGGCGGCCCUGGAUAUUUAACAUUUUAAGAAACUAUCCGACUACUUCACGCAGUGGCCCGACGGCUCUGCGUCCCUGCUGGCAAGCAUCGGAGUGUCCCGGCCACUCUACGUCUUCACCGACCCUUGGCGUCGCCAGUCUCCUUAACUGUACCCACUUUGGCGGGAGCGCAGCGGGGCCUCAUAGUGCCUACGCCACUGAGCUCUGAUACGCUUGCUGUUGCUCGCGUUUUAAGUCGGGCUGCCUGUCUUCUUACUGAGCUGUCCAUGUCCUCUACACACUGCGAACGCAAGUCCUUCAGCAGACGGGGUCUGCAGAUCUAGUUCUCACCUUCCCAUGCCUUUUCAUCUUCACAGCGUCCUCUGAAGGAUGAAGCUUUCAAAUCUAGAUGGAGCUCAAAGUGUCAUUGUUUUGGUGACACAUGGAAGAUGUCUCUGCCUGACCCAAAGUCCGUGGUCUUCUGGAAUUGCGUAGCGUUCGUUCCUGCCUUUAGUUCUAUGAUCUGUCCUGAGGUAAUUUUGCAAAUGGUGGGAGCUAAGGGUUCCAGUCAAUGGUCUCCACAGAGAUCAGACUUGUCCCCACGCCACUUACACAAAGACAACCUUCUCCCCCCAGUAAACUGCCCUGGCCCCUGGGCCCCGAAGCCAUGGACCACACACAGGGGCCUAUUUACGGGCUCCUUCUGUUCCUUCGAUGUACAGGUCAUUGUUCUCCUGCCAAUACGACAGCUUGGAUUGCUUAUUGCUUAAUAUAUAUGAAGUCCGGAAGCCAGACAGUGGAAGGCCUGUGACUCUGUCCAUCUCAGAUUUAGCAGUCCCGUCCAUCGAGACGGCACAUCGUUCCGUGUCCUCGGGCUUUGAGCUCAUCCAUGCUAACAGUUUCGGUCUAUACGCCUUCCCCGUGCUGGUAUCUAACGAUUUCCAUCUAUUGCGUGGUUUCCAGUCGCUCGCUGGAGCUACACGGGAAUGUUAGUUUCUGUGCGGGCACCACACGUCCCUUGGCUUUGCUAAACUCAACUGCUAGUUCCGGUGGCCCUUCUUUGGAGAUGUCUUCGGCUUCUCCAUCCAGUCCGUCUUGUCAUCGGCAAGUUAAGACAGUUUGGCUCUUUCUCUUCCAGUCUGGGUGACUGUCUUGUCCUUGCCUCGCUGCGCUGCCCGGGACACCCCAUCAGACGACUGUGGCGGAGUGUGGUGAGCGCAGCGACGGUGCUUCCAGGCGUGGUAACUGUAAGGGUUGGCACCGGAGAAGGCUGCGUGCGGGGAACAGAGCUUCACUGAGCUCGGCAACGUCUGCUGUUCAAAAUUAUUUCACCGUAAGAACCUAAGUGGUGGCGCGGGGGUGGGGACAGUGGCCAUUCUUGCCUUGUUUCCAGAGCGUUUCCUCUGGAACAGCACCACGCAGGACAUGAGCUGGAGGGUUUUGCAUGUCCCCUUCACCGGGUUAGAGACGAUCCUUUUCCGCUCGGUUCGCUAAGAGUUUUGUUUGCUUGUUUUUAAAAUCAUGAAUGGAUAGUGAGUCUGGUCAAGUCCUUUUCCUGUAUCUUUGGAGAUGAUCAUAUGGUUUUUCCUUCUUAGUCUGUCCAUGUGGUGGAUUUGGGCGAUUUCCGAAUAUUAAACCACUCUUGCCUUCCCGGAGUGAGACACACUUUCUCAUGAACUAUUUUCACUUUCAUACGCAGCCGGAUUUAACCAGCUAAAGGUUUGCUGAAGGUUUUUCAUCUAUGUUCAUGGGGGGAUACUAGUCUAGAUUUCUUUCUUUCUUUUUUUUGUAACAUAUUUGUCUGGUUCUGGUAUCAGGAUAGGGAAGCCCAUGAAAUGAGUUGGGAAGUAUCCAAAAUCAUAGAAGACUUUGUGGGGGCUUGGCAUCAUUUCUUCUUCAAAUCUUUGAUCCGAUUCACCAGGAAAACCAUUUUCUUUGUGUGGAGGCAUUUUAUUUUUGUUUUAUUUAGAUCUUUGUAACAAUUUUACUAAGGUGCAGUUUACUUUGGAACUUACCAAUUUAAGUGUACAUGACAGGGUUAACACUGGGGAAGAAACUAAUCUCGGUCGCUGUGUUUCACUCCGUUCCAAAGUGGCUUUCGGGAGUUUUCUUUUUGCUGAUCAGCUGCGCCUGAAUAGAUGAAGAACCUCGGGAGCCAAAGUCACCACGUGUGGCGGCCACCGGCUCACGGCUUCUCUGAGAGCUCACAGCGGGUUUUCGGAUCCUUCCUCCUCACUUUGCGAUGCCCUGUCUCCUCCUGCCCCAGGCUGAUGCGCUCCUGUGUCUCCCUCAUGGCUCUCCUGGGACUGUUCUCGCCAGGAUCGCCAAGAACACUGGAUCCUCCUUGUCGCUCAGUCCGCGAAUACUUCUAGACAUGCCUGCUUGACCUCCCUGUGGUGUUUGAUGGGUCAGGCUCCCAGCAGGAAACAGAUGGCUCCAAACGGGGGUCACCGAGGAGGCUUGAAGAAGGGCGAGUUACAAGGUGUGAGUGAGCAGGGGAGGGACACCACAAGGGCUCGAGUGGAAUCUGGGGCUCGGCUGCUCUCAGGCCGGGAGGGACCAGGGCAGGGAGCACUCGCUGGAGCACGGGCUGAGAGAGUAGAGGGACUCGCCAGGCACGACCGCGCCCGAGGCAGCCC